UGGAUCCAGACUUUGAUUAUGGCUCAGGAUGAACGCUGGCGGCGUGCCUAAUACAUGCAAGUCGAACGAAACUUCUUUAUCACCGAGUGCUUGCACUCACCGAUAAAGAGUUGAGUGGCGAACGGGUGAGUAACACGUGGGCAACCUGCCCAAAAGAGGGGGAUAACACUUGGAAACAGGUGCUAAUACCGCAUAACCAUAGUUACCGCAUGGUAACUAUGUAAAAGGUGGCUAUGCUACCGCUUUUGGAUGGGCCCGCGGCGCAUUAGCUAGUUGGUGGGGUAAAGGCUUACCAAGGCAAUGAUGCGUAGCCGAACUGAGAGGUUGAUCGGCCACAUUGGGACUGAGACACGGCCCAAACUCCUACGGGAGGCAGCAGUAGGGAAUCUUCCACAAUGGGCGAAAGCCUGAUGGAGCAACGCCGCGUGGGUGAAGAAGGUCUUCGGAUCGUAAAACCCUGUUGUUAGAGAAGAAAGUGCGUGAGAGUAACUGUUCACGUUUCGACGGUAUCUAACCAGAAAGCCACGGCUAACUACGUGCCAGCAGCCGCGGUAAUACGUAGGUGGCAAGCGUUAUCCGGAUUUAUUGGGCGUAAAGGGAACGCAGGCGGUCUUUUAAGUCUGAUGUGAAAGCCUUCGGCUUAACCGGAGUAGUGCAUUGGAAACUGGGAGACUUGAGUGCAGAAGAGGAGAGUGGAACUCCAUGUGUAGCGGUGAAAUGCGUAGAUAUAUGGAAGAACACCAGUGGCGAAAGCGGCUCUCUGGUCUGUAACUGACGCUGAGGUUCGAAAGCGUGGGUAGCAAACAGGAUUAGAUACCCUGGUAGUCCACGCCGUAAACGAUGAAUGCUAAGUGUUGGAGGGUUUCCGCCCUUCAGUGCUGCAGCUAACGCAAUAAGCAUUCCGCCUGGGGAGUACGACCGCAAGGUUGCAACUCAAAGGAAUUGACGGA
rnacentral:rRNA from 1 species